CCUACGGGUGGCAGCAGUGGGGAAUAUUGGGCAAUGGGCGCAAGCCUGACCCAGCAACGCCGCGUGAAGGAAGAAGGCUUUCGGUUUGUAAACUUCUUUUAAGAGGGAAGAGCAGAAGACGGUACCUCUUGAAUAAGACACGGCUAACUACGUACCAGCAGCCGCGGUAAUACGUAGGUGGCAAGCGUUGUCCGGAUUUACUGGGUGUAAAGGGCGUGUAGCCGGGAUGACAAGGCAGAUGUGAAAUUCCGGGGCUCAACCCCGGCCCUGCAUUUGAAACUGUUGGUCUUGAGUAUCGGAGAGGCAGGCGGAAGUCGUAGUGUAGCGGUGAAAUGCGUAGAUAUUAGGAAGAACACCAGUGGCGAAGGCGGCAUGCUGGACGACAACUGACGGUGAGGCGCGAAAGCGUGGGGAGCAAACAGGAUUAGAUACCCUAGUAGUC
rnacentral:rRNA from 1 species